GCGCUGUAGUACGUACCAUACUGUACACUGCUCCCUAUCGAUCGUCGGCUCGCUCUGCAGGCACACAGGGAACGCGCUUCCGCUGCAAUCUUUGUGACCUCGCUACACGGUUGCUCUCCGUGAGAAGAGAAGCUGUUUGUGUUAUCAACGUUUGUGUUAUCGUUCGUGGACGGUGGAAAACAGCUUUGCUAGGAGCUUUAAACAAUGAUGCCCUUUACUCGAAAUCGACGUGGGCUUAACUUUGGGUAUUGGAGCCUAUUUUUAAUCGUGACGUCGAAAAAACGAAGCUUAUCAGCAGCUUUCACCGUCUUCAUGUUUGCUGACGUGUGGGAUCAGGCACAAAGGAGCUGCUAGUAUGUUUUUAGAGCCUCUGCAUGUCGGGGAAGGAGGAAGAGGGCGACUUUACUUGGUGUCAGAGACAGAAAUGAGAAAAAGCUGAAUUGAGUGAGAAGGACGAUGAAGGAAACAUCUGUGCUGUGUCUGCUCUGUCGUCCCAGGAUCGAGGAGUCCUCACAGCAAACAUUCAGUCGUCUUUAAGUGUGAGCUGGGAACAGUGAACAGAGUUUCUACCAGAGCCAAAU